CAGCUCCAACGUGUUCCCGCUGUACUUGGUAUCAUUCUACUGGAUAUCAUUUUUCGGCGCUCUGCUGAUGAUAUUCUUGGGAACUGCUCUGAGCCUUUUGACAGGUGGUCACAAGACCGCAAGGAGAAAUGUGCCUUUGACAAGCCCAGUGUUCUUGAACAUCUGGAAAAGGUUUAAAUUUUUGCGCCGGACAAUGACGCUUCAAGGAGACGAAUUUAAAGAAGGCCCAUCGAUAUUGCAGGCC
rnacentral:lncRNA from 1 species